UGGUUGAUCCUGCCAGUAGUCAUAUGCUUGUCUUUAAGAUUAAGCCAUGCAUGUCUAAGUAUAAGCUAUUUAUACGGCGAAACUGCGAAUGGCUCAUUAAAUCAGUUAUAGUUUAUUUGAUUGUCCCUUACUACAUGGAUAACUGUAGUAAUUCUAGAGCUAAUACAUGCAACACAAACGCGACUGCUUGCGGAAGCGUGGUAUUUAUUAGGUUAAAGACCAAUCAGGGCAUUCCAAACUGCGUAGGCCUUCGGGCUUGCGUGGGCCCUGCACCCUUGGUGAGUCAUAAUAACUCUACGGAUCGCAUGGCCUUGUGCCGGCGACGUUUCAUUCAAAUUUCUGCCCUAUCAACUUUCAAUCGUAAGAUAGAGGCUUACGAUGGUGGUAACGGGUAACGGAGAAUUAGGGUUCGAUUCCGGAGAGGGCGCCUGAGAAACGGCGGCCACUACCAAGGUAGGCAGCAGGCGCGCAAAUUACCCAAUCACAAUUCGUGGAGGUAGUGACAAAAAAUAACAAUACAGGUCAUGAUAAAUGUCUUGUAAUUAAAUGAGAACGAUUUAAACCCCCUAUCGAGUAGCAAUUGGAGGGCAAGUCUGGUGCCAGCAGCCGCGGUAAUUCCAGCUCCAAUAGCGUAUAUUAAAGUUGUUGCAGUUGAAAAGCUCGUAGUUGGAUUUUGGGCGCGUGUGUUUCGGCCCAUCGUGAUGAUGUGUGCCGUUGUGCCGUGUCUUUCCUUCGCAUUGCGGCCCGGCGGCAUUAAUUUGUCGUCGGAAUUCGUAUGCGAUCGUUUACUUUGAAAAAAUUAGAGUGUUCAAAGCAAGCCAAUUCGGCCGUUGAAUAUUAUAGCAUGGGAUAAUAGAAUAGGACUUGUUUCUUAUUUUGUUGGUUUUCAAGAAAUAAGUAAUGAUUAACAGGAACAGUUGGGGAUAUUAGUAUUUAUUUGUCAGAGGUGAAAUUCUGGGAUUCUAUAAAGACUAACUUCUGCGAAAGCAUUUAUCAAGGAUGUUUUCAUUAAUCAAGAACGAAAGUUAGGGGAUCGAAGAUGAUCAGAUACCGUCGUAGUCUUAACUAUAAACUAUGCCGGCCAGGGAUUCGGAGACGUUGUAUGGAUGACUCCCCGAGCACCUUAAGAGAAAUCAUAAGCUUUUGGGUUCUGGGGGGAGUAUGGUCGCAAGACUGAAACUUAAAGGAAUUGACGGAAGGGCACCACCAGGAGUGGAGCUUGCGGCUUAAUUUGACCCAACACGGGAAACCUUUCCAGGUCCAGACCUAGUUGGGAUUGACAGAUUGAGAGCUCUUUCUUGAUUCUAUGGGUGGUGGUGCAUGGCCGUUCUUAGUUGGUGGAGUGAUCUGUCUGGUUGAUUCCGUUAACGAACGGGACCUUAACCUAUUAAAUAGUCAUGCGAACCUUCUGUAUGGUGCGAAGUCGUGGUUA
rnacentral:rRNA from 1 species